AGGGUCUUGGUGCCUAGUCCAGGCUGGCUUUGAACUCCUUAUGAAGGUCAGGGUGGCUUCAGACUUGAGAUUUUCCUGACCCAACCUCCUUCGUGCUACUCUUACAGAUGUGCACCAGCAUCUGCGUGCUUAUGUUGGACGUUAAUUCUCAGAAGCAAAACUGGUUUUCCUCUUCAUAGUUGAGCGAUGACCAUCAUGGACAGAGCUGACUCUUCAGACUCGUCGGACCAUCGGAAUCAGCGCGGCCAUUCUGAGGCAGCCAGCACUGCAGACCUGGGUGCAGGCUCUCCUGACCAGAGCGCUGAGUCUUCAUCACUGAGUGAUGUUUCCAUUCACACACUUUCUUUAGGACCGGUACUGGGUGCUGUUUAUUCAGAGUCCACUGUUGCUGGUGAUGGCAUUCCUCCACCACAGAAAAUUCUUUUUCCGCCAGAGAAGAUUUGUCUUAAGUGGCAGCAAAGUCACAGAAUUGGCACUGGGCUUCAGAAUCUGGGUAACACCUGUUUUGUCAAUGCGGCCCUGCAGUGUUUGAUGUACACGCCACCUCUCGCCAAUUACAUGUUAUCACGUGAACACACCAAGACAUAUGCCCAUGCCAUUGGAUAUAAUAAAAUCAAACAAAACAAAACGGAAAACCCAACAAAAUAAUGAAGAUGAUACAGGACUUCCAAAUGAGGUAAUAUGUAAUUAACAAUGGCCACCAUCUUCACAGGAGAUCCCCAGUGCUACAUUGUAUGUGGUUAUCCUCUGUAUAGAUGAUCAGACUACUAGCUUUAUACCUACAAACCAGAGAAACACUAAACACCACAAGCAUUAAAUUGUAUUUUACUUCAAUAGCUAUCACCACAGCCUGUGUUUCUCUGGAUUGGCUGGUUGCUUCUGAUGGUGCAGGAGAGGGGAUGGAUGGCUCUUCUUGUU